rnacentral:rRNA from 1 species
UACGUAGGUCCCGAGCGUUGUCCGGAUUUAUUGGGCGUAAAGCGAGCGCAGGUGGUUUAUUAAGUCUGGUGUAAAAGGGAGUGGCUCAACCAUUGUAUGCAUUGGAAACUGGUAGACUUGAGUGCAGGAGAGGAGAGUGGAAUUCCAUGUGUAGCGGUGAAAUGCGUAGAUAUAUGGAGGAACACCGGUGGCGAAAGCGGCUCUCUGGCCUGUAACUGACACUGAGGCUCGAAAGCGUGGGGAGCAAACAGG